ensembl:lncRNA
UCUGUCUCCAAUCGACACCACGAGACAAACUGUCCCUUUACUUCUCACUCUACACUGUGUCCUUUCUUCUCUUCUCAGCUUAUUUCCCAAAGACCUAAGGCUCUAAUGCUUCUUUCUGCUCCCAGAAAAUGGAAACUCAAUGCCUGGGAAAAGCACAAGAAACAACUUCAGGUGCUGAAAUGGACACUUUAGCCUGUCAGUGGAAAACACUGGAAACCAGAGACGGCCCCAUGGAUGCUUAAAUGCAGGAGAACAGUAGAAAGCUCAGAAGAGAACAGAGACUUCAGAGCCAUUGAGAAUAAGGUGACAAUAAGCAUGGAAAAGGCCAAGACUGCCAUCUUGUGGACAAACAACACACUACCAUGACUUCGUUUCAAGUUCAUGCUUGUAUGUGAGAACGUAGAACAUCAUCCAUGGCGUUCCUGGCACAGACAAGAGCUUCCUCCACACCUUCCAGGGUUGCAUCACAUCCUUUGACCCUCUCCGUCCCUCUCCCUGUCCCCACGCCGACUCUCCAUCCAACACCGGGGCGCCCCAUACGAACAGAGCAACACCACCGUAAACACAGGCCAGCAGUGCGAACAUCCAGCCCCAGCCUGCAACGUCAAUCACAGCCAGGAGCCCCCCUCCAGCAAACACAGAGCCAGCUUUAUACCCCACAACCUGCACAGUGUUUCCCAGACCCAGCUCCCCCUGCCCCCUGAGCAGCCGCACGGCCGCUCCGUCCGCCGCAAUGUCCUGCACUGAUGCCAGGACGUUCAUGGCGAGCAGAGAGCCUGCUACACCUAUGUACUGAACAUCAGGUGAGAUGGUAGCGCUCACCAAACAGGUGAGAGCCAGACCAGCCACUGUGCCCACUAACCAGUAGCGCUUGGUGCCAGUCCGGUCCACCAGAGGAGCCCAGAGUACCUUGAGCACCCAGGGAAAAUAGAGGAUUUUGGUGAGGCUGAUGCGGGUGAGAGAGUGGCCAGCACCACGCAGUCCUCUUCUUCUUCUCCUUCUUCCUUCCGUUUUAUGGCCGUUCACUCCUUAGGAGAAUUACCGCCACCUACUGUAUACCUUGCCCACAUGAAUAAUGGAUCUGAAUUGAAAAAAAAAAAAAAAAAACAAAAUUUUAAAUCCCUUUAACAUCCCAGAGGAUCAGAUACCAAGCUUCAGCUGACGCUGCGUGUUCAGCUCCUCCAGCUUCCACACUGAUCUCCUCAACCUCCAGGAUGAUCAGAGCUACUUGCUCCUUCUCCUCAGGCUCUAGAUCCGGUGAUCUAGUCCUGUAAGCUCUAAAAAUGUUAUCACGUCCUUAAACCUCUGUCUAUCACUCAAACCCUUUCCCAAUAAAUCCAUUAUACUCACUGACGUGUUCUUUAUAUUUUUAAAAAGAUCACUACGCUGUUCUUCAUAUUUACUACACUUAAAAAACACAUGUUCUACUGUUU